UACUCAUGUCAGUUUUAACUACC
rnacentral:snRNA from 1 species